UCAAAAGCUAACUUUUGGGUGUUGGUUCCCUCUUUCCACAGUGAAGGACAGUCCUGGGAAUCAAACUCUGGUCCUUAGGCCUGAAGAAAGGAUCUUUACCUGGUCUCAGAAUCCUGGCAGAUCACACAGGGAGAACUGAAGGCUGGAAGGACGCUGUGUCCUACAGAUACAAUGUAUCCACAGACAGCGAGACUUAGCCACAUCCACUAGUGCUACUGCUGUCCCAGCCCAGGGAGCUUCUGAUGGAUGACUUCAGUCCCAGGAGCCUCCAAUCUCCUAGUAGUGAAGUGGAUAAUCGCAGGAAGCUUGGAAGAUGAUAGAAAAUGAGAUGCCGACAAGCACCUGGCAUACAAAACACGCUGUUGAGAACUGCAGAGUCUUCCCUUCCCCCAAGGAAUUGAGGAUGCUUUCCUGGGAAAAGGGUAGUCUAAAGAGGGACCAGAUUGCUGUUUUCAAACACCGGAUGGGCUGUCAUGUGGAAAGUGAGUAAACUUUUUAUGUAUUGUU